rnacentral:rRNA from 1 species
CCUACGGGAGGCAGCAGUGAGGAAUAUUGGUCAAUGGACGAGAGUCUGAACCAGCCAAGUAGCGUGAAGGAUGACUGCCCUAUGGGUUGUAAACUUCUUUUAUAUGGGAAUAAACUGUUCCACGUGUGGGAUUUUGUAUGUACCAUAUGAAUAAGGAUCGGCUAACUCCGUGCCAGCAGCCGCGGUAAUACGGAGGAUCCGAGCGUUAUCCGGAUUUAUUGGGUUUAAAGGGAGCGUAGGUGGAUUGUUAAGUCAGUUGUGAAAGUUUGCGGCUCAACCGUAAAAUUGCAGUUGAAACUGGCAGGCUUGAGUACAGGAGAGGUGGGCGGAAUUCGUGGUGUAGCGGUGAAAUGCUUAGAUAUCACGAAGAACUCCGAUUGCGAAGGCAGCUCACUGGACUGCAACUGACACUGAGGCUCGAAAGUGUGGGUAUCAAACAGGAUUAGAUACCCGAGUAGUC